rnacentral:rRNA from 1 species
UUCCGGUUGAUCCUGCCGGAGGUCACUGCUAUUGGGAUUCGACUAAGCCAUGCGAGUCGAGAGGGUUCGGCCCUCGGCUGACGGCUCAGUAACACGUGGAUAAUCUGCCCUUAGGUGGAGGAUAAUCUCGGGAAACUGAGGAUAAUACUCCAUAGAUCUAGGAUGCUGGAAUGCAUUUAGAUUGAAAGCUCCGGCGCCUAAGGAUGAGUCUGCGGACUAUCAGGUUGUAGUCAGGAUAAAGACCUGACUAGCCUAUGACGGAUACGGGUUGUGAGAGCAAUAACCCGGAGACGAUAUCUGAGACACGAUAUCGGGCCCUACGGGGCGCAGCAGGCGCGAAAACUUCACACUGUGCGAAAGCGCGAUGAGGGAAUCCCAAGUGCUUACUCGUAAGAGUAAGCUGUUUCUUUGUCUAAAAAGCAGAGAGAGUAAGGGCUGGGUAAGACGGGUGCCAGCCGCCGCGGUAAUACCUGCAGCUCAAGUGGUGACCGCUAUUAUUGGGCCUAAAACAUUCGUAGCCGGUUUGGUAAAUGCCUGGGUAAAUCGUGUAGCUUAACUAUACGAAUUCCGGGUAGACUGCCAAACUUGAGACCGGGAGAAGCUAGAGGUACUCCUUGGGUAGAGGUGAAAUUCUGUAAUCCUAGGGGGACCACCAGUGGCGAAGGCGUCUAGCUAGAACGGGUUUGACGGUGAGGAAUGAAGCCCUGGGGCGCAAACCGGAUUAGAUACCCGGGUAGUCCAGGGUGUAAACGCUGCUUGCUUGAUGUUAGUUGGGCUCCGAGCCCAAUUAGUGUCGGAGAGAAGUUGUUAAGCAAGCUGCCUGGGAAGUACGAUCGCAAGAUUAAAACUUAAAGGAAUUGGCGGGGGAGCACAGCAACGGGUGGAGCGUGCGGUUUAAUUGGAUUCAACGCCGGG